AUUUGUAACUUCGUCACUGCCGUGCUUGACGCUCAUUAGUCUUAAGGGGAACAACAUAACUCUCUGAGAUUCUUCUUCGAAGUUCACCGCUGCUUCAAUUCUCAGAUCUUCGAAGUCCGUCUCUUCGAACGCGCUUCCGGCGUCUGGAAGUGUAGGUUUCCGGUGAGGAUUAUUAAUUCUGUUUUGCUUUUGGAAGAAAUUCGUGUUCGGAAGCAGUGAUUUUGUUUGAUUUCCUGGAAAGUGGGAAUUGUUCUGUGGUGCAUGGGAUUGGUCUUUCGAGUUUGAAGAUAGGUGGAGCUAGAGGGUUAGGGUUUCUAUUUCAUGUUCUUUGUUGAAGGGAUUAGUGAUGAGGGGAGUGAACGGGAAUGAUAGCGUGGAAACGGUGGUUGCAGCUGCGAACGCCAUCGCUUCCGCUGGGAGUCGAGUUCAGCCGGGCUCAAUUCGGAGGAGAAGAUGGAAGGCUUGGUUUGAGAUGUACUGGUGCUUUGGAUCUCACGGACAACCAAGUCGUGUCAGUCAAUCAGUUCUUGUUCCUGAGCCAACAGAAGGUCCUAUAUCACCAACAUUUGCGAACUCAAACCAAUCAUCAGGACUAGUAGUUGCUCCUCCUUCCUCACCUUCUUCCUUCCUCCAAUCAGAGCCUCCAUCCACCAUCCAGUCACCUGCAAAAUUUUUCUCCCUCUCUUCUCUCGCUUCAAAUUCCUAUUCGCCUACGGGAUCCUCCAUCUUUGCCAUUGGGCCCUAUGCAAAUGACACAAAAUUAGUCUCUCCACCUGUUUUCUCCACAUUCACCACUGAACCAUCUACUGCCCCCGUCACACCUCCAGAACCCUUGCAACAAACAACUCCUUCUUCACCUGAGGUUCCAUUUGCUCAGCUCUUGUCACCACCCUUUGACUCCAAAGGCAGAUUAAGUGAGCCUUAUGACUUCCAUCCAUACCAGCUCCACCCGGGGAGCCCUAUAGGUCACCUAAUUUCGCCAGGCUCUGUUUGUUCUGGCACAUCCUCUCCAUUCCCUGAUAUGGAAUUGCAUCCUUCAGCUGAUGCUUCAUUUCUCCCCUCUCCAAUAGCUCAACCACCCAAGUUUUUGACUGCUCAAGACUUUACCAAGCACAAGCGUCUCAACGGCCGGGUUGCUCGAGAUAAUAGUUCGAUUCUUGAUGGUCGGAUCACAGCACUCGAGCAUUCUGCAGAUGACAGUAAAUCUAUAUUCGAUAACUCUGCCGAAAAUGAGGACAUUGCUUUUGAAUUUACAGCACAAGAAUUUGCACAGCGGAUGAAAAAUCAACCAGAAACCUCUUUGGAUGUAACCUCAGUGUUUCCCACGGAUUUAGAGGAGACAAUAGCUGAAAGAGACCAACUUUCACUAAAUGGAACCAACCAGAAGUUUAUUGAGAAAAUAGAACAUUCAUCUGAGCUUGAAGCAUCUAAGGAGUUCAAGUUUAACAUUGAGACAGAGAAUGGUGACGAUAAAGAACUGGGUAUUCUUCACUCUGGCUCAGCCUGGAGUCAGCUGAAGUUCGGUUUUGUUGAAAGAAUUCAUUAAUUGAAAACCUGCAUCACUAUGAACAGAUAAUGGUGGAAAUUGAAUAGAGAUUUUGGCCUUGGAAGAUGGCGAUCAUGCUGUAAAUAAGAUUUGGUAGCUUAAUAAGUUAUUUGUUUUCUAAUUGCAGGAGGUUCUGUUCUGCUAAUAGCUUCUCUCAACUCUCCAUGAAGAAUACUGAUACUCUGGAAUGGUAUGCCAUGCGUCUUCGAAUACAAACAGAUAUGAUGAACUAAAUGACAUAAUUUGGUAUGCACUGAGAGUUAUGACACUCAUUGUCAGGCUGAGGUUCUGUUAGGCCAGCCCCUCUUGGGCCGGUUGAACCGGUCCCUAGUGGACCGGUUUACACCAACAGCCGGCGACCCAAGGUGCUGGGCGGAAUCAGGAAACGGAGAGAGAGGGGGCCGGCUGCUACUAUGGGGCCCACAUGCUAAUUAAACUUGCUUUGGAGGGAAAAUUUUGAAUUAAGGGACUAUUUAGGGAAUUUGUAAUUUUCCUUUGUCUUUAAUUAGUUAGUUUGGGAGGUUUAGGAUUUCAUCUUGAAUUUGAAUUAGAAAUUUGAGAUCUCGUGUGCUUGGGCUCUUGUCUCUUGGCUAGAGAUUUGGAGAGUCGUUUCUUCCUCUCGAAUUGAAGAGACAUGUAUCUUUUGAUAUUUUUCUGCAUUUAUUAGUGGAAUCCUUCAUUGUUUUCUCAGAUUUUCACAGUUUUCUCAACGUUGCUGCUAUCCGGUUGCUGUUUUCUUCUGAAAACAGCAUUUUUUUGCUUUUGGCUUUCUGAAGAAUAGCAUCAUUUCCUUCUCAAAGCUAGUUGUUAUAUGGGAGGGAUCAACAGUAGUUCUCAAAAAUUGCUUGGAAGUUUUCUGGUAAAAAAUCUCUUGAGCUUAUCUCUGCAUAAUUUCUUUUGAGUUGUUACAACAAUAUAUCCUUAACCUGAGAGGCCAGGGGAAGAAGAUCAUCCAUGAAAGCAAAGAUCAUCAUAUUUUAUCCAAAUCAUCUUCCAUUACAACAUCUUUGCUAGAAACAACCAUUUCAUCUUUCCUUUGAAAGAAAGUCAUCAACGAUUAGAAUCUCAACCUUCUCGUCCACAAUAUGAUCUAUAGGAAUUCUGAAAGCUCCUUCAAAUGAUUCUAGAGACUAUGAAGAAGUUUGCUUGAUCUCACUUCAUAUUACUUUAUAUGUUUUGAAAUGGGGAGAAAUUAUAAUCCUUAAAAGUUGCGUAAUAUCAAGAUUAGAUCUCAACCUUGUACUAGUCAUGACAGCCUUAGCAACCAUGUUAAAUCUAAAAAAACUCAUCACUCAAUGCUCAA